GACGAACGCUGGCGGCGUGCCUAAUACAUGCAAGUCGAGCGCAGGAAAUCGACGGAACCCUUCGGGGGGAAGUCGACGGAAUGAGCGGCGGACGGGUGAGUAACACGUAAAGAACCUGCCCUCAGGUCUGGGAUAACCACGAGAAAUCGGGGCUAAUACCGGAUGGGUCAUCGGACCGCAUGGUCCGAGGAUGAAAGGCGCUUCGGCGUCGCCUGGGGAUGGCUUUGCGGUGCAUUAGCUAGUUGGUGGGGUAAUGGCCCACCAAGGCGACGAUGCGUAGCCGACCGGAGAGGCUGAUCGGCCACACUGGGACUGAGACACGGCCCAGACUCCUACGGGAGGCAGCAGUAGGGAAUCUUCCACAAUGGACGAAAGUCUGAUGGAGCAACGCCGCGUGAACGAUGAAGGCCUUCGGGUCGUAAAGUUCUGUUGUAAGGGAAGAACAAGUGCCGCAGGCAAUGGCGGCACCUUGACGGUACCUUGCGAGAAAGCCACGGCUAACUACGUGCCAGCCGCCGCCGUAA
rnacentral:rRNA from 1 species